UCUGAGAGUUAUUAGUUUCUUCUCGAACUCUUGAAAUCACAUUGAUCAAACAUGUGGAGUCAAAAUCCAAGUUUCAGGUUUAAGAUAGAGGAGUUUCGGAAGAAGAAAGCUGAUCACAUAUUGUCUAAGGUUUUCGUUGCUGGCGGAUGCGAAUGGCAAAACAACAAGAAGACUCUUCAAAACCUAAUUCUCUUCUCCAAGAUUUGAUGUAUUCGAUUUAUACGUAGCAUUUAUUAACAAGGGUUUAAUUAAUAUUUGUUACAGGUUCCUCUACGUUUAUCCCAAGGGAUGUGAACUUGCUGAUGAUCACUUGUCUGUAUUUCUGCGCAUUGCAAAACCUAAAUCAUUGCCAAUUGGAUGGAAAAGGAAUGUUAGUGUUUACUUCAUCGUGUUGAAUCAUCGCAAUAUAGAGCACUGCAGAUCAAACAUUUUACAAGGCACAUUUGAGGCUGAGCAUCCAGGAUGGGGAUACGAAAAGUUAUUUCCUCUUAGCGAACUUAAGGAGGAAGGGUUUAUGGGGAAGGACAGUCUCAUCAUUGAAGUCUACAUUAAUGUGAUUGAAGCUGUGGACGGAGACAGCGAAGAUGUAUCAGAGAAAGAGACUGUGGAUAUCAACGGUUUUCAGGUUUCUGCUUCUCAUGUUGAUUUAGUGAAGAAGAUAUUCGCAGAGCAUCCAGACAUUGCAUUAGGCUUCAAACCAAAGAACCAAGUGGUGAAGAGAGCAUACACUACAAGAAAUAUCGGUAUUAAUAGCACCCGAUAAACGCUAUCAUAUCGUUUUCAUAGCGUUUCGAAGAACGCCGUGACAGCCGCAGCUAUAAUAGAUCCCCCUCUAGCGUAGCGUUUUUCGCGUGCUGUAACAAUAUACAGAUAUUAUAGCGUUGGUCCUAUGUUAUAUUAUACCUAUUUAUAGCGAUUUCUUUUCGCUAUUUAAAUAUUUUAUGUGGCACUUUUCGUGUGCCAUAAAAUAUUUUGUUAUGACAUUUGUUUUUUGUCAUAGAAUACCUUUUUGUAACUCAGUUUUUUUUGGAUUUUUGAACAUUUAAUAGCAAUUUUUUUGUGCCAUUGAAUAUUAUAAUACAGCGUUUUACUUGUGCUAUGACGUUUAUAUUCUAGGUAAUACUGAAUAGCUAAUAUUUUAAACCGGUUUAUAAAUGAUUUUGGUUUAUAUUAAAAUCUUGGUUUACAAUCGGUUUAUAAAUUAAACCAGAUUACAAAAAAUUUCAGUUUACAAACUAAACCAGUUUACAUACAAACCAGGUUUAAAAACAAAAUCUAA